GCGGAGCCGUAGCGAAAGCGAGUCUGAAUAGGGCGCAUAAGUAACAGGUCGUAGACCCGAAACCAGGUGAUCUACCCAUGUCCAGGAUGAAGGUAAGGUAAUACUUACUGGAGGUCCGAACCCACGCACGUUGAAAAGUGCGGGGAUGAGGUGUGGGUAGCGGAGAAAUUCCAAUCGAACUUGGAGAUAGCUGGUUCUCUCCGAAAUAGCUUUAGGGCUAGCCUCGAGGUAAAGAGUCAUGGAGGUAGAGCACUGUUUGGACUAGGGGCCCUUCUCGGGUUACCGAAUUCAGAUAAACUCCGAAUGCCAUGUACUUAUACUCGGGAGUCAGACUGCGAGUGAUAAGAUCCGUAGUCGAAAGGGAAACAGCCCAGACCACCAGUUAAGGUCCCCAAAUAUAUGUUAAGUGGAAAAGGAUGUGGGGUUGCUUAGACAACCAGGAUGUUGGCUUAGAAGCAGCCACCAUUGAAAGAGUGCGUAAUAGCUCACUGGUCGAGUGACCCCGCGCCGAAAAUGUACCGGGGCUAAACAUAUUACCGAAACUGUGGAUGAACCUCUUUAGAGGUUCGUGGUAGGAGAGCGUUCUAAGGGCGGUGAAGUCAGACCGGAAGGACUGGUGGAGCGCUUAGAAGUGAGAAUGCCGGUAUGAGUAGCGAAAGAAGGGUGAGAAUCCCUUCCACCGAAUAUCUAAGGUUUCCUGAGGAAGGCUCGUCCGCUCAGGGUUAGUCGGGACCUAAGCCGAGGCCGAUAGGCGUAGGCGAUGGACAACAGGUAGAGAUUCCUGUACCAGUGCUAAUUGUUUAACCGAUGGGGUGACACAGAAGGAUAGGGAAUCGCACGAAUGGAAAUGUGCGUCCAAGCAGUGAGUGUGAG
rnacentral:rRNA from 1 species